AACGGCUCCCCCUUGAAGCGUGUAGCGAACAGGCGAAUUGAUCCCGGUAUCCUGGUCCACGGCCCGUAUCGCCGCUGGUUCCACUCCCAACGUCGUCCCCUGCAUCGCGCGAGGAGUGAUCUUGUAUUGGUCGUUUAGGAAGGCUGGAUUUUGGUCAUCGGCAUCGAUCACGUUCACCCGAAGGGCCGUAUCCGUCGACUGCGGGGGGUUGCCUUGGUCCUAUAGGAAGAAACACUCAUAAGGAUGUACCUUAGCAUGUACUGAUCCUGAGAGAGAGAAACAUCAUCUCGUGCAAACCUGGGCUCGAAUUCCAACGGAAAAGUUGCUCAGUGUCUCGUAGUCCAGUGGCUUGCGCAAUACCAGAGUGCCUUCCAGAGCGUUUACAAACACGAAGUAGUCCUAUGCGGAUAGACAGUUAUAUACGGUAGGUCAUGCACGUGCUCGGGGUACCUGCAGACGGAGUCUCUCACCGUCCACGAACACAGCUGGCUGUACAUAACACUAAAAGUAACGAAAUUUGUCGUCGAUGCAAUGUUCAUCAUCUGCGCUACCCAGGUAACACAAAACUGAAGUUUGUCUAUCAGACGUCUUAUGAGAGUCUUAUAACGUGACUUUGACGCCUAAAGGAGGUCUUAUAUCCAAAUUACGUCUUUGUGACGUUGGACGUCUUUUGGAGGCCGAAAUUCGCGUCAUAAGAUUUCCAUAAAACGUCUGAUAGACAAAUUUUAGUUUUUUAUCAGCUAUAGGUAACUGCAGCUUCGUUAUAGUCAUCAAUUCGGUGAAUCAAAUCACCCAUCAUAAUCAUCUUCACUGAUUACAAGUUUUACGAAGGGAAUUCACAAAUAAUA